CACAGUAAGGCUGGAAGGUUUCCAGGACAGACCAUGAGAGCAGCUGAAAUAGUCAUGGUUUGUGAUUUCCUGAUUAAAAGUGAGUGUUAUUGGGAGUUGGACUACUCUUCAGCUUUUCCGAGAGGCAAACUUGUUGUGUAUCCUGAAUCAUGGCAGGGUGCAAAUGGGAACUGACAAGAGGGAUAUGGCUAUGGAAAUCGUCGCCCCCUUUAGUAUGUCCAUGCUCUGCGGCAGACCACCAGAAAACCCUUGAGAAAGCCUGAGGAAAAUUCUUGGGCGCUCGACCAAAACGGGCCUGUUGAAUUAUCAAACCCAAGGAGAAAUCUCAGAUCAGUAUGAUGGCACAGAGCAACUGAAUGGAAAACCCAAAUACACAACUCCUUAUUCAUAUGGAUGACGAUGCGCAACAAGAUGAUGGACAGCACCACUCUUUUGCAGCUCCAACAGUUUACAAUUAUUCUCCUCAUGGCUAUCCAACAUCCUUCAUGCCUAUUUACAGCCAGACUUCUGGCGUGGACAGCGGACCAAUAUGCAUACCAGCCUCAAGAACAAAUGGAAACUGAGCAAAUACAAACUCCUGAAUCUUUUCCUGAACAGGCUAACUAUGCGCAAAUGUGGGCUCUGUUCAAACAAACUUUGUCCACCAACAAUGGUCAGAACCAACCUUCCACACCAUGCAAGAUGUUUUUUAUCCCAAUAAUAUUCUAUUGACCAUUAUGAACUUCAGCAUCCAGCCCAACAAAGUUCGAGUGCAAAUAUCCUUUUACUGAAGGUUCAAUACAGCAGUUUAAUGCAUAUGGCCUCAAUCAUUACACCAACACUUUACCAUCUGCUGUCCCCUGAUCAGUACUGAGUUCAGCUCUUUGAAAUUGAAUCAUCCAUUACAUGACUACACAAUGCAAUCCAUUCCUGGCUGUAUCGGGAAUACUCAAAAUCCUAAACCUGCUUCCUUCCCAGUUUGCGCAAGUCUGUUUUGGCAGCCGACCAUAAAAUUUUUCUGCCCAAUGUGUUCACCAGUGAUACCAUUAAAAGGGAUAGCGCUUAGUCAAUGCAAGGACACAAGCAUGAACCCAUACAAGAGUCAGCAAAAUCAUUAAUCUGGGGUGAAGAAGUUGCGAUGUCUGCAUGCACAGCAGACCAACAACAGGCAAAGGGAACAUAGGUGGGUUUAUUCUGACCUAUUUAAUAUGGGGACUCAACACAUCCACAUCUGUUUACUCAAAAUAUUAUAAUGGUGCCUUUCUAAUGUUGUUUUCUUCCCUACAGAGAGCUGAAUCAAUAAAUGAAAAUGUUUCAUUAUGUGCCCAAGCCCUAUCCUGUUUGACUCUUUAAUGAAUGGCUUCUGGACUUCUGUCAGGAAAUUUAA